rnacentral:rRNA from 1 species
UGCAAGUCGAACGGUGAAGGCGGAGCUUGCUCUGCUGGAUCAGUGGCGAACGGGUGAGUAACACGUGAGCAAUCUGCCCCUGACUCUGGGAUAAGCGCUGGAAACGGCGUCUAAUACUGGAUACGAGCUGCGAAGGCAUCUUCAGCAGCUGGAAAGAACUUCGGUCAGGGAUGAGCUCGCGGCCUAUCAGCUUGUUGGUGAGGUAACGGCUCACCAAGGCGUCGACGGGUAGCCGGCCUGAGAGGGUGACCGGCCACACUGGGACUGAGACACGGCCCAGACUCCUACGGGAGGCAGCAGUGGGGAAUAUUGCACAAUGGGCGAAAGCCUGAUGCAGCAACGCCGCGUGAGGGACGACGGCCUUCGGGUUGUAAACCUCUUUUAGCAGGGAAGAAGCGAAAGUGACGGUACCUGCAGAAAAAGCGCCGGCUAACUACGUGCCAGCAGCCGCGGUAAUACGUAGGGCGCAAGCGUUAUCCGGAAUUAUUGGGCGUAAAGAGCUCGUAGGCGGUUUGUCGCGUCUGCUGUGAAACCCCGAGGCUCAACCUCGGGCCUGCAGUGGGUACGGGCAGACUAGAGUGCGGUAGGGGAGAUUGGAAUUCCUGGUGUAGCGGUGGAAUGCGCAGAUAUCAGGAGGAACACCGAUGGCGAAGGCAGAUCUCUGGGCCGUAACUGACGCUGAGGAGCGAAAGGGUGGGGAGCAAACAGGCUUAGAUACCCUGGUAGUCCACCCCGUAAACGUUGGGAACUAGUUGUGGGGUCCAUUCCACGGAUUCCGUGACGCAGCUAACGCAUUAAGUUCCCCGCCUGGGGAGUACGGCCGCAAGGCUAAAACUCAAAGGAAUUGACGGGGACCCGCACAAGCGGCGGAGCAUGCGGAUUAAUUCGAUGC